UACAGAGGGGGCAAGCGUUGUUCGGAAUUACUGGGCGUAAAGGGCGCGUAGGCGGCCUUCUAAGUCGAACGUGAAAUCCCCGGGCUCAACCCGGGAACUGCGUCCGAUACUGGAAGGCUUGAGUAUGGGAGAGGGAUGUAGAAUUCCAGGUGUAGCGGUGAAAUGCGUAGAUAUCUGGAGGAAUACCGGUGGCGAAGGCGGCAUCCUGGACCGACAUUGACGCUGAGGAGCGAAAGCUAGGGGAGCAAACGGG
rnacentral:rRNA from 1 species